GCGAGUUGGCGGCUGUACAGAGCUGGGUAUUGGCUAGGCUGACGAGAGAGAGAGUGCGGACAGUAGCACGUGGACAGAGGGUGGCGGCAGACGAGAGAUACACAGCUUGCUUGCUCUUACUAAGAGAGCGACAGGACCCAGCAAAACUAUCAGUCGUCAUUAAGCUCAAGUUCUCACUUUGAGGAUGGAUGAUGCGGACCACAGGACUACGUGACCCAGGCGAACACUUUCCCACCACCACAGACCCAGGAUCCUUUAGAGGCUCGAGAGAUCUCUUUUGACCAUUUGGGACUUUGAUAUUCAUGGCAGAAUAUCGAGCCGGGAGAGAUAUUCAUGGCAGAAUAUCAAGCCGGGAGAGAGAGAGAGAGAGAGAGUGUGUCUGUGGGAGAGGAAAGAUUCCACUGGCUCUGGCUCGCUUGUGUGAGCGUGGUGCAGCGAUAUAUAUAAUAUUACAUGCUUUUUACCAUAGACAAUAAAACAACUUUAAAACUA